GGACAUAGAAAGGAUGGGGCAACAGCAAUCUCCAAAUUCUUUGAAGAUGUCUCCAGAAGACAAUGCGAAUAGGGACCCUAAUUCAGAAGGCACAGGAGUGUAAGUGGUAUCUACUCUAAAGGCAGGCAGGAAAUAUUUCCAAUGUGAAGGAGCAAGGAGGGAGAAAGGGGAGAUUUGUGGCUACCAGGACGAGCUACUUGUGCACAAUGAAGAAGAGAAGGUGAGACCUAACAUCUCUCUGCGAUGACUGAUUUCAGUCAGAACUUCAUUGAGAACUCUUGGACAGAUGAAGGUCAUGAGGGGAGAGAUGGCAAGCAUAUUUUUAGAUGUCAUCAAUAAGUGACAUUGGCUGAAAAACUUCUGCACUGUGAAUCUGCAAGAAGCUGAUUUUUUCAGAUAGUCUUUCAUCUCCAAAUACUUGAAGCUAAAAUUUGGCAGACAUGGCAGUCUGCCCCAAAAUAUACUUUUUAA
rnacentral:lncRNA from 1 species